CGGUUGAAGUAGCCGGGAUAUGAUUUAGUAAGUUUAAAUAUUUAUUCAAAUAGAACCUAUGAUUCCCAUUAAAAUUGGUAAUGAGUGAACAAAAUUAUUGAGUGGGGAAGUUUUCCUAAGCUGACAUUUUACGAACAAAGAUAAAAUUGGAAUGACUAAAAAUAAAAUUUUCGCACAGAUGAAUACAGCUGGACUAAUGCGGCUAGAAGAAACAAAUUAACUGACAACUAGCCACGUGGUGAUGAAAGAGAACAUAAAGAAACCGAUGACAAAUUGUGAUGACACUUCUGGCAACUUUUUGAGAGUGUGAUGCUUUAGAAAGGGCUGCAUCAGGGCUACCUUUGCGCCUCUAAAGAGGCGUUUUUAAUCUUUUUUUUACCUAAUCCACUUUCUCUCCACUUUUUAAAAAUUGUCAAAAAAUCCCUCUUUUUGAUUUUUUAGUUCCUCUUUUUCCUCUUUUUUAAAAUUAUGUACGUUUGAUUAAAAAAAUUGACAUUUUUUUGAAAAUCAAGGAAAGUGUAACUUAGGUAUACCACUUUCAAUUGUAACGACUCAAUUGUAAAAAAAAAUAUCCGUUACUGUUGUUUCGUACUGUAUUGAUUUUAAUAAGAUUACUUUUGAUAAAUUUCUUGAAAAAAUUAUGCAGAGGUAAUGUUUUUGUAUUCUUCUUAUUAUGUAAAUACAAUUUUAAUUUUAAGAAAGUGUGUUAAU